rnacentral:rRNA from 1 species
AAGCAACGCGAAGAACUUACCAGGCCUUGACAUGCAGAGAACUUUCCAGAGAUGGAUUGGUGCCUUCGGGAACUCUGACACAGGUGCUGCAUGGCUGUCGUCAGCUCGUGUCGUGAGAUGUUGGGUUAAGUCCGUAACGAGCGCAACCCUUGUCCUUAGUUACCAGCACGUUAUGGUGGGCACUCUAAGGAGACUGCCGGUGACAAACCGGAGGAAGGUGGGGAUGACGUCAGGUCAUCAUGGCCCUUACGGCCUGGGCUACACACGUGCUACAAUGGUCGGUACAAAGGGUUGCCAAGCCGCGAGGUGGAGCUAAUCCCAUAAAACCGAUCGUAGUCCGGAUCGCAGUCUGCAACUCGACUGCGUGAAGUCGGAAUCGCUAGUAAUCGUGAAUCAGAAUGUCACGGUGAAUACGUUCCCGGGCCUU